rnacentral:lncRNA from 10 species
AAAGAGACAAGUUUUAUCCGUGGACCCAAAACUCCAGAGCCGGUCACGGACUGAGAAGGCAGGCUUCCCUUGGUUUUUAAUCAUUGCAGGGACACCUCUCUGAUUAUUCACCCACAUUUCAAAGGUGUCAGACCACACAGGGAUGCCUGCCUUGGUCCUUCACCCUUAGCAGCAAGUCCCGCUUUUCUGGGGGAGGGAUAAGUACCCCAACCCCUUCUCUCCGUGUCUCUACCCCUUCUCUGCUUUUCUGGGGGAGGGGCAAGUACCCCUCAACCCCUUCUCCUUCACCCUUAGCGGCAAGUCCUACUUUUCUGGGGAAGGGGCAAGUAACCCAACCCUUUCUCUCCAUGUCUCUACCCCUUCUCUGCUUUUCUGAGGGAGAGGCAAGUACCCCUCAACCCCUUCUCCUUCACCCUUAGCGGCAAGUCCUGCUUUUCUGGGGGAGGGGCAAGUACCCCAACCCUUUCUCUCUGUGUCUCUACCCCUUCUCUGAUUUUCUGGGGCAAGGGCAAGAACCCCUCAACCCUUUCUCCUACCCCUCAGCGGCAAGUCCCACUUUUCUAGGGGAGAGGCAAGUAUCCCAACCCCUUCUUUCCAUGUCUCUACCCCUUCUUUGCUUUUCUGGAGGAGAGGCAAGUACCCCAACCUCGUAUCUCUGUGCCCCAAUCCCUUAUUUCCAUGCCCCGAACUCGUAUCUCUGCACCCCGACCCCUUCUCUGCUUUUCUGGAGGGCAAGAAACCCCCACCCCUUCUCUGUGUCUCUACUCUUUUCUCUGGGCUUGCCUCCUUCACUAUGGGCAAGCUUCCACCUUCCAUUCCUCUUUCUCCCUUAGCAUGUGUUCUUAAAAACUUAAAACCUCUUCAACUCUCACCUGACCUAAAAUCUAAGUGUCUUAUUUUCUUCUGCUAUGCCGCUUGACCCCAAUACAAACUUGACAGUAGUUCCAAAUAGCCAGAAAACGGCGCUUUCAAUUUUUCCAUCCUACAAGAUCUAAAUAAUUCUUGUCGUAAAAUGGGCAAAUGGUCUGAGGUGCCUGAUGUCCAGGCAUUCUUUUACACAUCAGUCCCUUCCUAGUCUCUGUGCCCAGUGCAACUCGUCCCAAAUCUUCCUUCUUUCCCUCCCACCUGUCCCCUCAGUCCCAACCCCAAGCAUCGCUGAGUCUUUCUAAUCUUCCUUUUCUACAGACCCAUCUGACCUCUCCCCUCCUCACCAGGCCAAGCUAGGUCCCAAUUCUUCCUCAGCCUCCGCUCCUCCACCCUAUAAUCUUUUUAUUGCCUCCCCUCCUCACACCUGGUCCGGCUUACAGUUUCGUUCAGUGACUAGCCCUCCCCCACCUGCCCAGCAAUUUACUCUUAAAAAGGUGACUGGAGCCAAAGGCAUAGUCAAGGUUAAUGCUCCUUUUUCUUUAUCCCAAAUCAGAAGCUUUUAGGCUCUUUUUCAUCAAAUAUAAAAAUCCAGCCCAGUUCAUGGCUCGUUUGGCAGCAACCCUGAGAAGCUUUACAGCCCUAGACCCUAAAAGGUCAAAAGGCCGUCUUAUUCUCAAUAUACAUUACCCAAUCUGCUCCCGACAUUAAAUAAAACUCCAAAAAUUGGAAUCUGGCCCUCAAACCCCACAACAGGACUUAAUUAACCUCACCUUCAAGGUGUACAAUAAUUUAAAAAAGUUGCAAUUCCUUGCCUCCACUGUGAGACAAACCCCAGCCACAUCUCCAGCACACAAGAACUUCCAAACGCCUGAACCACAGCAGCCAGGCAUUCCUCCAGAACCUCCUCCCCCAGGAGCUUGCUACAAGUGCCAGAAAUCUGACCACCAGGCCAAGGAAUGCCUGCAGCCCAGGAUUCCUCCUAAGCUGUGUCCCAUCUGUGCAGGACCCCACUGGAAAUCAGACUGUUCGACUCACCUGGCAGCCACUCCCAGAGCCCCUGGAACUCUGGCCCAAGGCUCUCUGACUGACUCCUCGGCUUAGCAGCUGAAGACUGAUGCUGCCUGAUCACCUCAAAAGCCCUGUAGACCACCACAGACGCCGAGCUUCGAGUAACUCUCACAGUGGAAGUGCUGUGCUGCCUUCUGAAUUCUCCUACAAAAAGCAGUGGCCAGGUCGUAUGGUCCUUACAUUCCAGGAAAUUGUAAAGCUCUUCAAACUCUUCAAAUUAUAAAACUCUUCUCUUGAAGACAACCCCUUUUCUUGGCAAAGAGGACCUAACUGAAUGUGUUGAGAUACCCAUGAAUCUGCUCCUCUGAUCACAGUUCUGAUGACAUGCAAAAACUACCUUUCUUCAGUCCAUGUGACCCAGCUGAUAUUGACUGGUUCUGAAUAAAGGCCCUGAAGGGCAAGGUCGUGCAGGCUCCUUGGGAGAGAACAGAACUGCAGAUAGAGAGCAGAGGGGACAGAGGCCAGCAGAGACCUGUGUCGGACAGAAGAGGGCACCAGCAAACUGACCUACUCACCCCAGCUGCUGACCCCCACUUCGACCUGGGAUCAAACCAGCAGCUGAGCACAAUAGAUAGGCUGGGUUCUUUUUGGAAAACAAAAUUUUCCUGGAACAUGAGUAUGUCUAAACUAACUAAUCAAAAUGAAAGAAAUAUAUGUCUUAGUAUACCUUUUCAUGAUUUGAUAAUUGGCCGUUUUCAAGAACAUAAUGAAAACUCAGCUGUCCCACUAAAAUAAUUAUCACCAAGGAGGGGCAGUUACCGAAAGAUAAACAAUUCCUUUGAAAACUAAAUAAAUUAUCUAUCAAACUGUUACUCUAUCUAUAACUUUAAAAGAAAAAAGUCAUCUGGGCAGAAUUAUUGGCUUCACAUCUUCAAAUGUGUUCUACUUUGUUUAACAAAUUGAAGUUUCAAUGAGUUCUUUUGGUUUGCCAGGAUUGAAGCAGAUUUAAAGUAGGUUUGUUGUCAAAUCAGCGUAUGGGUCUCUAUCUCACACCUAGGCUUCCAUUAUCACACAAUGAUGAGCACUCUCUUCCCACCACCUCCAUAUAAACGCUUAAACACAUCCCUUCCCUGCAUACUUCCCACUGCCCACACCCGUGUAGUAAUUUAUAUGCCACUUUCCCCAGAACUCCCUCCAUUCUAGUAGGAAGCAUUUAGACUUACAAAGUGAUUGAGGUGGAGGAAGUUCUUCCAAAGUGCAAUUCAUGUGUCUUUAAAAAAAAAAAAAUUAAACACUAUAAAGUAGGAGAAGCAAAACAGAAUUUGCGGUUAGUUCCUGUAAUAUGUUAAACAUCUGCAGUUUUGUCUCUUCAUCGGGAUGCGGGGUUGUGCUGUAGUCACAUCCUGAUAACAUCUGCACAUUACUGAUAGCUUUUGCUUUAUUCUUUAUGGUCUGCUGAUGAGAGAUUCUUUAACAUUCCUUCAGUCAUCAAGACCCCAGUUGGAUUUCUUUGCUUGUGACAGCCUUAAAGGUGGUUUCAUUUACAUUUGCUAAAAUGUCACAAUAUAGGAAGAUAUUUUCAGUUUGAUGUUUCAUCCCUUCCUUUUUUUAUCCGGAUGCUAGUUUUAGCUUUUCAAAUGAAUGUCGAACUCAAAAUAGAUUUUCCAUGAAAUAUAUUUUGUCUGAUUUUUGGAACACCAUGUCUGCAGCAGAAGACUUUUUUUUUUUUUCCAAAAAAGUUUUCAAUAAGGAAUGGCACCUCUCUACUCCUGCUUGCAUUGCAACAACAGCUACCAUGCCAUGAAAGGGCUAGCUUGUUUAACAUCCAGUAACACAGAAUGUACGACUAGUUUAAAGGUCAGGUACUGACAGGAUGGGAGCUGUUUUUGCUUCCCUAAUGACCCCAAUUACAUCAGAGCUGAGCAAAUAGUCAAUAAACAGUGGCACUAACAUAUGUAGAAAAAUUGUUUAUUUCACAUUUCCAAGACAAUUAGCAAUCCCGUCUCUGGUUCCAGAAAGACUUUGAGAUCCUAGAGGUUUUAAAUAAAUGAGACCAUGAAAAGUAAUAUAGAAUAUUCAUGUAAAUAAUCUUGGGCUAUAUGAAAGCAUUAUUUAUAUUGCUGAAUACAUUUUUCUUGAUGUAGCAAGCGAGUGGUCAAUGGCAAUACAUAAGACAACUGUAAAGAGCUCUAUAAACAAUAAAUUUUAAAAAGAUUAAUUGGUUUUGAGAGUUAAUUUUCUUGAACAAUUUAGUGGAGAUUUUUCGUUACCCACUUGGGAUUCAUAGAGUUGAAUAAGA